CGUGAGUGAUGAAGGCCUUAGGGUUGUAAAGCUCUUUUUUCAGAGAAGAAAAUGACAGUAUCUGUAAAAGAAAGCCCGGCUAACUCCAUGCCAGCACCCCC
rnacentral:rRNA from 1 species